AAGAAAACAAAAACCCAGACAAAGGAAACAUGCCUCACUGCUGUCUGAAAGUAAUGGACGGGCUGGAGGCCUCGGCUGGAGAAGAGGAAGGAUAACAGUGCAGAUAACACGGUCUCUGGAAGCAUUCUCUCUCCUGAUAUACUCUCAUUGUGGCGUUGUUUGCAACAGCAACGGUGGGGAGACAAUAAAUACUUCACUGGGAAGCUGAACUCAAGACACGAUGCAGGAGCCAAUAGCUAAGUAUUUAGAUAUCCACAAGAAGCUGAUCGUCUUGGCUGCUCUCAAGAGAGACAUGAGUGCUGGGAGAUAGGCUGAGAGGAAGACUUCUCAGUCUGCAGUCUUUCAGUGCCGCGGAUGCCACAUCAUGCCACAAAAGGACAACUUGCAGGAGCCACCAUGUGGGUUCUGGGGACUAAAUUCAGGCCGUCCGCCAGGCUUGGCAGCAAGCUCCUCUACCUACUGAGUCAAUCUUGCUGGCCCAAAAUUUUAGAAUAAAGUAAAACAGACCAAUAUAAUUCUGCAGACCAGGCUGGCCUUGAACUCACAGAGAUCCUCCAGCCUCUGCCUUCAGAAUGCUGAGAUUAAAGGCUGUGCUGCCAUCACCUGAUGUGUUCUUCUUUUGAUGCUUAGAAUUGAAGCCAGGGACUCCUGCACCUGCGUUGCACUGAGCUAUGCCCUUGUCCUACUGAAGUUAAAGGACACAUAUUUACUAUUGUUCUAUAAUGUAAAGGGUAGCUCAACUUGUCAACCAGCUUCCUUCCUCUUUAAGCCUGGUGUGUUUAUCCACAGAACAAAGUGAAAUAAAACAUGAGCUUAGAAUCAGCUGGGCAGUGGUAAUGCCUUUAAUCCCAGCACUUCAGAGCCAGACGCAGGAGGAUCUCUUGGGUUAAGCGUGGUCUACAGAGUGAGGUCCAGGACAGCCAGGGAUACACAGAGAGACCCCAUCUCACAAACAAAACAAACAAUAACAAAAACAGUCAUGAGUUGUUUUUUAUCUAGAUUAUCAUUUUUUAAAAUCCAUGAAUUCAUGAAGAAACUAACACUGGGUUUUCUGAAGCAAGGCCUAAGGGGCUCUGGCAGCAUUUUACUUGAUCCUGAAAGCAAAGAGCAGGCUGUAAAAGCUACAAGCAUACUGUAGAAUAGCCACGGCAAAGCAAGGGGUGGUGUGGCCGAGGAGUCACUGUCUAGGGAGUGGGACAGCAGAACGUUACUGAGGAAGGCUAUUUGCCUGAACAAUACAACGUGGCUGAACCUUUCCCCAACCAACCUACACCCACAUCUGUACAGUGCCCCUCCCAGAGGCCCUUGCAAGUGCCCUUGACGGCAGUGUCCUCACCUCCAAUCUCCGAUACACACGCUGGUAUUUUAACAAAAUGGCCAGAAGGGGCCACUGUUGCACAGGUCUUGGGGGAAAGCAAGCACCAAUAAACCACACCCUGAUUGGCAACUGUCUCAGCUUGCUAAGAGCAACCUCCUGCUACUCUCUAGGUUAUAAAUAAGGUGGAUGCCUCACUCUUGCCAAGUAAGCAGAUGUCUUCUCCAGCCAGGCCAAACCUAGCUUCAAUUCACUGUCUCCUGAGACACUCUGUCAAAUAUCAGUCUGUCACCAGUCACUGAACCCGAGGUCUGCAGAGUGCCCAGCCCAUGCUCUUCCUCCGUCCACACCCUCAGCCUACUCCCACUUCCCUACUUACCAAGAUGAUAUGUGGAUAAAUAAUAACACUGGGUGACUAUGAACAGAGCUGAGUGAGUAUGAAUUCUGAAUGUGUGUCAUUAUGCUAUACAUUAAAAGAGUUUGUGACUCCAACAGGUUCUAUACUAUGGCUGAAUGUGAAACAUGAACUGUCUGCUGGCAUUUUGAAAUUUGUCUUUAAGUUGUCCCUGAUCUUAUAUUUUUUGGUUGUGAGCCUAGCCUUUAACGGCUGAGCCAUCUCUCCAGCCCGUCCCUGAUCUUAACAUGAUACGGUGGCAUGCACACCACAGACAUACAUACAAGUAAGUAGAUAACUGUAACUUUUUAAAAAAUUUAAGAGGCUACACGGUGAAAACCUGUCCCACCAAAUAAUAAAUUAAUUAAAUUUGCUUCAUGUAUCAGAAAGACAUGGUACAACAUGACCCAUAUGUAAAUACUUUUGAAGAAAAAAGAAUAAUCUCAGGGGCUAGUUUUUUGUUGUUGUUUUAGGACUCUAAUAAAUACGGUCCACGGGUCUUGGGAUCCCCUCGCCUGAAUGACAUUGUCUAGCCCCAUAUCUAGUCAUAUUUUACUAUUCAUUACUUAGAAAAAAACAAAAAUAAAGACAAUUAAGAAGUAACCACAGUACACAACUUUAAUCCCAACACUUGGAAGGCAGAGGCAGGUGUGGGUCUCUGUAAGUCUGAGGGCAGCACGGUCUAUAGUGGGAGUUCCAAGAUGGCCAGGGCUACACAGAGAGACUCUUGUCAAAAACAAAACAAACCACAAUCGCCUUUAAUCCCAAUGCACGGGUAGGGGUCAAGGGGCAGAGGCAGGCGGAUCUUUGAGUUCCAGAUCAGCCUGGUCAGGUCUACAGAGUUCCAGGCCAAUCAGGAUCAAGGGAACAAGGGUAAGAGGUAAGGUUCAUAAACUCACUGGAUAUGUGUGAAAAUGUAUUUCGGUUGUAAUGACCUCUUACUCUUUGUGCUUGCCCAGAGCUAAGUUCAGCCCUAUAUUUGUAGAAUAGGUAAAACACUAACAAGGGUAAUUAGAACAGAAAAGGGAUUAGAAGGAAGUGAAGAAAGGAAGGGGAUUUAGAAAAGGAAGAACAGCCGCCUGACCACCUGCAUGACUUGGUAUUGGCGACAAAUGUUUAUGAGCUGCUCUGUUUGUGUGGGAGGUGGUCUACUGUGCUUCUGUUUGUUUUGUGAUUUACCAGCAUACCUGUCUUUGGGGGUUUUUGUUUGAUUGAUUGGUUUGCUGGUUGACAGGUUGGUUUUGUUUUGUUUUGUUUUUCAAGACAAGGUCUCACUAUUUAGCCCUGGCUCUCCUGGAACUCACUCUGUAGACCAGGCUGUACUUGAACUCAGAGAUCUACCUACCUCUACCUCCUGAGUGCUGGGAUUAAAGGUGUGCACCACCACACCCUGCUGUGUCUGUAUAUCUUGUGCAAGUAUUGCCCACAGAGGCCAGAAAGGCUGUCAAGGCCCUGGAAGUGGAGUUAAUGGGUGUGAUGGUUUGUAUAUGCUUAGGCCAGGAGGUAGCACUAUUAGGAGUGUGGCCUUGCUGAAUAGAUUUGUCACUGUGAGUGUGGGCUUUAAGCUGGCUGGAAGCCAGUCUUCCACUAGCAGCCUUCAGAUGAAGAAAAAGAACUCUCAGCUAUGCCUAUAUCAUGCCUGCCUAGAUACUGCCCUGCUCCCACCUUGAUGAUGAUGAAGAACUGAACCUCUGAGCCUGUAAGCCAGCCCCAUUUAAAUGUUGUCCUUUAUAAGACUUGCCUUGGUCAUGGUGUCUGUUUAUAGCAGUAAAACCCUAAGACAAUAGGUGAGACAUUUUUUUCUACCAGGGUGGGCGGCUUUUUGAGACAGUGUCUCAACUUCAGUUUGGCCUCAAAUUUGCUAUGUGGUAGCCAAAAAUGAUCUGUAAUGAUCCUCCUGCUUCUACCCCCCAGCUUGAGAUUACAGGUGUGCUUCCAUUUAUGGUGAUCUCCAAAACCAACUGUCUACAAGCCUGGUGACAGGAAUUUGAUCUUCAGAACCCAUGAGAAGGUAGUUUCCUGAUUUCCACACAUGGGCUAUGAGGCACACAUGCCCACAUAUACAUAGUAUGUACACAUAUGUGCCCACAUAUACAGAAUUCAUACACAUAGAUACACACACACACACACACACACACACACACACACACACACACACACACACAGAGUAUUCGCUAAAAAAUUACUUGGGCAAAAUGAUAUAAAUUAAUCAUAUAAAUAAAAAAUGGACUUUCAAAAUAAUAA